AUAAUGCCUGGAAAGGUUUAUUUUUUAAAGUUUUUGCGCUUAAGGAUAGGGCUGCGGCGGAUUAGGCUGAUGUUAAGGUAAAAACUUAACAUACCUAUAAUCCGUAGGGGCUGUGAAAGCGGUGGCCCCCAGAUGGGUUCUGAGAUACUAACCCAAGUCCUACGGGAUGCAGCAGUCGCGAAACCUCCACAAUGCACGCAAGUGUGAUGGGGGGACUCUAAGUGUUGGCACAUUGUGUCAACUUUUCUGAAGUCUAAAACGUUUCAGGAAUAAGGGAUGGGUAAGACCGUUGCCAGCCGCCGCGGUAAUAACGGCGUCCCAAGUGGUAAUCAUGAAUAUUGGGUCUAAAGCAUUCGUAGCCGGUUUAUUAAGUCUUUUGUGAAACCUCAUAGAAAACUAUGAGACGUGCAAAAGAUACUGAUAGACUUGAGACAGGGAUGGGUCAAGGGUACUUUUAGUGUAGGGGUAAAAUCCUGUAAUCCUAAAGGGACCACCUGUGGCGAAGGCGCUUGACUAGAACUGGUCUGACGGUUAGGAAUGAAAGCUAGGGGAUCAAAGGGGAUUAGAUACAAUCUUUUUGGAAAAAUAUUGACCAAAAAGUUGCUAAAUACCCUCGUAGUCCUAGCUGUAAACGAUGCUCGUUAGGUAUUGGAAAUCUUUUGUGGAUUUCCAGUGCCGUAGGGAAGCCAUUAAACGAGCCACCUGGGAAGUACGAUCGCAAGGUUGAAACUUAAAGAAAUUGGCGGGGGAACACACAAGGGGUGCUGUCUGCGGUUU
rnacentral:rRNA from 1 species